rnacentral:pre_miRNA from 1 species
AAGGUCUUGGCUGUAGCCACGGCUGUUUUGAGACCGCGGACCAUUCAAGAUCAUC